GGUGGGGUAACGGCUCACCUAGGCGACGAUCCCUAGCUGGUCUGAGAGGAUGACCAGCCACACUGGAACUGAGACACGGUCCAGACUCCUACGGGAGGCAGCAGUGGGGAAUAUUGCACAAUGGGCGCAAGCCUGAUGCAGCCAUGCCGCGUGUAUGAAGAAGGCC
rnacentral:rRNA from 1 species